rnacentral:rRNA from 1 species
UACGUAGGGACCGAGCGUUGUCCGGAAUCAUUGGGCGUAAAGAGCGUGUAGGCGGCCUUUUAAGUCCUGCGUGAAAUCCUGCGGCUCAACCGCAGACGGUCGUGGGAAACUGGAAGGCUAGAGUGCGGGAGAGGAGAGUGGAAUUCCCGGUGUAGCGGUGAAAUGCGCAGAUAUCGGGAAGAACACCCGUGGCGAAGGCGGCUCUCUGGAACGCAACUGACGCUGAGACGCGAAAGCGUGGGGAGCAAACAGGGAUUAAGAAACCCGGGU